AUUGAACGCUGGCGGCAGGCUUAACACAUGCAAGUCGAGCGAGCGGCGGACGGGUGUGUAAUGUCUGGGAAACUGCCUGAUGGAGGGGGCUAACUACUGGAAACGGUAGCCAAUACCGCAUACCAUCAGAUGUGCCCAUAUGGGAUUAGCUCGUAGGUGGGGUAAUGGCUCACCUAGUCGACGAUCCCUAGCUGGUCUGAGAGGAUGACCAGCCACACUGGAACUGAGACACGGUCCAGACGCAUACGUGAGGCAGCAGUGGGGAAUAUUACACAAUGGGCGAAAGCCUGAUGCAGCCAUGCCGCGUGUUUGAAGAAGGCCUUCGGGUUGUAAAGCACUUUCAGCGAGGAGGCGUUACUCGCAGAAGAAGCACCGGCUAACUCCGUGCCAGCAGCCGCGGUAAUAC
rnacentral:rRNA from 1 species